rnacentral:rRNA from 1 species
UGUGAUUAACCCACACUGCGUGGGCGACACGAAACACCGAAACCGAACGCACGCCGUCAAGCAAGAAAUCCACAAAACUUUCAACAACGGAUCUCUUGGUUCUCGCAUCGAUGAAGAGCGCAGCGAAAUGCGAUACCUAGUGUGAAUUGCAGCCAUCGUGAAUCAUCGAGUUCUUGAACGCACAUUGCGCCCGCUGGUAUUCCGGCGGGCAUGCCUGUCUGAGCGUCGUUUCCUUCUUGGAGCGGUGCUUCAGACCUGGCGGGCUGUCUUUUUGGACGGCGCGCCCAAAGCGAGGGGCCUUCUGCGCGAACUAGACUGUGCGCGCGGGGCGGCCGGCGAACUUAUUACCAAGCUCGACCUCAGAUCAGGCAGGAGUACCCGCUGAACUUAAGCAUAUCAAA